UACGGGGGGGGCAAGCGUUGUUCGGAAUUACUGGGCGUAAAGGGCUCGUAGGUGGCCAACUAAGUCAUACGUGAAAUCCCUCGGCUUAACCGGGGAACUGCGUCUGAUACUGGAUGGCUUGAGGUUGGGAGAGGGAUGCGGAAUUCCAGGUGUAGCGGUGAAAUGCGUAGAUAUCUGGAGGGACACCGGUGGCGAAGGCGGCAUCCUGGACCAAUUCUGACACUGAGGAGCGAAAGCCAGGGGAGCAAACGGG
rnacentral:rRNA from 1 species